UACGUAGGGACCAAGCGUUGUUCGGAUUUACUGGGCUUAAAGGGCGCGUAGGCGGGCCGCCCGGUCCGGGGUGAAAGCCUCCAGCUCAACUGGAGAAGUGCCUUGGAUACCGGCGGCCUCGAGGGAGGUAGGGGCGUGCGGAACUUCGGGUGGAGCGGUGAAAUGCGUAGAUAUCCGAAGGAACACCGGUGGCGAAAGCGGCGCGCUGGAUCUCUUCUGACGCUGAGGCGCGAAAGCCAGGGGAGCAAACGGG
rnacentral:rRNA from 1 species